GACGAACGCUGGCGGCGUGCUUAACACAUGCAAGUCGAGCGGUAAGGCCCUUUCGGGGGUACACGAGCGGCGGACGGGUGAGUAACGCUUGGGAAUCUGCCUAUUAGUGGGGGACAACCCGGGGAAACUCGGGCUAAUACCGCAUACGCUCUACGGAGGAAAGCCGGGGACCGGCAAGGCCUGGCGCUAAUAGAUGAGCCCAAGUCGGAUUAGCUAGUUGGUAGGGUAAUGGCCUACCAAGGCGACGAUCGGUAGCUGGUCUGAGAGGACGACCAGCCACACUGGGACUGAGACACGGCCCAGACUCCUACGGGAGGCAGCAGUGGGGAAUAUUGGACAAUGGGCGCAAGCCUGAUCCAGCGAUGCCGCGUGUGUGAAGAAGGCCUGCGGGUUGUAAAGCACUUUUCAGUAGGGAAGAAAAGCCGAGUGCUAAUAUCACUCGGUCUUGACGUUACUUACAGAAGAAGCACCGGCUAACUCCGUGCCAGCCGCCG
rnacentral:rRNA from 1 species